rnacentral:rRNA from 1 species
CAGUCGUACUUAUGGGUAAUCAGCCUUUUGGGUGUGAUUUUGUGGAGUGUGAGGAGUUAAACGCCUUCAUGCCUGCAUAUUCGUGCACUUUGGGUGUACUUGCCCGUGUGUAAGUUAACAUCAAUUUUGGUGGUCAUAAAAUGACUGGAGGAAUGUAGCUUCGAUCUUGUAUUGAAGUGUUAUAGCCUUCGGUAGAUGUGAUGAUCAGGAUCGAGGAUUGCAACGGAUACCCUUCGGGGCUACUUGUCUGAUCUCUGAUUGUUGCUCUGGUGCUGAAAGCUUGCUUAUGGCUAUCAGAAUCGAUGGUCAAUAGGUUAGAAUGGGUUAAAUUCGUUAAGGAUGUUGACGUAAUGG